GGUGGCGAGCGACCGGGCGCUGGUCGCGAUCGGCUUCGACUCGGUCGAUCCGGUGCCGGUGCCGGCGUCGUUCGUCGACGCGCUGCCG
rnacentral:tRNA from 1 species